UACGAAGGGGGCUAGCGUUGCUCGGAAUCACUGGGCGUAAAGCGCACGUAGGCGGCUUUCUAAGUCAGGGGUGAAAUCCCGGAGCUCAACUCCGGAACUGCCUUUGAUACUGGAAAGCUUGAGUCCGGGAGAGGUGAGUGGAACUGCGAGUGUAGAGGUGAAAUUCGUAGAUAUUCGCAAGAACACCAGUGGCGAAGGCGGCUCACUGGCCCGGUACUGACGCUGAGGUGCGAAAGCGUGGGGAGCGAACAGG
rnacentral:rRNA from 1 species